rnacentral:rRNA from 1 species
UACAGAGGUCCCAAGCGUUGUUCGGAUUCACUGGGCGUAAAGGGUGCGUAGGCGGUUGGGUAAGUCUGAUGUGAAAUCUCACAGCUUAACUGUGAAACUGCAUUGGAUACUAUCCGGCUAGAGGAAUGGAGGGGAGACUGGAAUGACUUGUGUAGCAGUGAAAUGCGUAGAUAUCAAGUGGAACACCAGUGGCGAAGGCGAGUCUCUGGACAUUUCCUGACGCUGAGGCACGAAAGCCAGGGGAGCAAACGGG